UACAUUUUAGUUUAUAAAAAACGUCAGUUUUUGAUAUUGAAGAAAGUAGAUGUAA
rnacentral:tRNA from 1 species